GACGAACGCUGGCGGCGUGCUUAAAACAUGCAAGUCGAACGGACUUCUCAUGAAGCUUGCGAUUGAGAAGUUAGUGGCGGACGGGUGAGUAACGCGUGGGCAACCUGCCCCUGAGCCCGGGAUAACAGUUCGAAAGGACUGCUAAGACCGGAUAUACUUGCGGGGAAGCAUUUCACUGCAAGGAAAGGGAACGCUCAGGGAUGGGCCCGCGUCCCAUUAGCUAGUUGGUGAGGUAACGGCCCACCAAGGCGACGAUGGGUAGCCGGCCUGAGAGGGUGAACGGCCACACUGGGACUGAGACACGGCCCAGACUCCUACGGGAGGCAGCAGUUGGGAAUCUUCGGCAGUGGGCGCAAGCCUGACCGAGCAACGCCGCGUGAGUGAUGAAGGUUUUCGGAUUGUAAAGCUCUGUCUUCCGGGACGAUAAUGACGGUACCGGAGGAGGAAGCCACGGCUAACUACGUGCCAGCAGCCGCGGUAACUCACGAGAGUA
rnacentral:rRNA from 1 species